rnacentral:rRNA from 1 species
AGAGGGCAUCUGACGAUGAUUAAAGGUUACGGUGACGGAUGGGGAUGCGUCUGAUUAGCUUGUUGGCGGGGUUAACGGCCCACCAAGGGCGACGAUGGGUAGGGGUUCCUGUAGAGGAAAGGUCCCCCACAUUGGAACUGAGACACGGGUCCAAACUCCUACGGGAGGCAGCAGUGAGGAAUAUUGGUCCAAUGGGCGAAAGCCUGAACCAGCCAAGUAGCGUGCAGGACGACGGCCCUCUGGGUUGUAAACUGCUUUUAGUCGGGAAUAAAAUGCGGCACGUGUGCCGCUUUGCAUGUACCGUCAGAAAAGGACCGGCUAAUUCCGUG